rnacentral:rRNA from 1 species
AACGAACGCUGGCGGCAGACCUAAUACAUGCAAGUCGAACGGAUGUAGCAAUACAUUAGUGGCGCACGGGUGCCUAACGCGUGGGAACAUACCCUUGAGUAAGGAAUAAUGUCUGGAAACGGACACUAAUACCUUAUAAUGACUUCGGUCCAAAGAUUCAUCGCUCAAGGAUUGGCCCGCGUCUGAUUAGCUAGUUGGUGAGGUAACGGCUCACCAAGGCGACGAUCAGUAGCUGGUCUGAGAGGAUGAUCAGCCACACUGGGACUGAGACACGGCCCAGACUCCUACGGGAGGCAGCAGUAAGGAAUAUUGGACAAUGGGGGAAACCCUGAUCCAGCCAUGCCGCGUGAGUGAAGAAGGCCUUAGGGUUGUAAAGCUCUUUCAAUAGUGAAGAUAAUGACGGUAGCUAUAGAAGAAGCCCCGGCUAAAUUCGUGCCAGCCGCCGCCGUAA